CCAUAUUUUGCAGUUGCAAGCAAUGCAGCCAUCAACAAUCUUUCAAACAUGAAAAUUCCUAUUUCUAGCUUCUUGUGUGGGAAAUUAGAAGGCAUGGCCACUCUCCCUUCUGGACAGGGCAUGUAUGCUCCCCCAGGGCUGCUUGUCUCAAUUGUCUCCCCUUGUUAUUAUGACAAAUAAUCUCUCCUUGUUCUUAUACAUUCAACCUCACUUUACCUGGGUCCUUGCCAUUCACAAGAGGACUGUUGCUACUAGCCACCUCUAUCUCCUCUUCUCCUAGUCUCUCCUGAAUGCAUAGCCAAUCCAGUUGUCAAUACCACUGCUUC
rnacentral:lncRNA from 10 species